ACACACAUAUAGAUGAUUCGACUAUCAGUCGACUAUAGAAAGAUUCGACAAUUCUGAUUCGAAUGUGUAAAUCCUUAGUCGGGGACACCCCUACUACAGAUCACAUUUUAAAAUCUUCUCCU